rnacentral:lncRNA from 1 species
UUCUCCUGAAGAGCUUCCGCUUCAAGUUCCUCCUCUUCAAUUGCAGGUUUUUCAUCUUUCUCUCCAACAACUAGUUCUUCAGGUUUCUCUUCAAGUGCCAGUUCUUCAGGUGUUUCCUCCUUUGCCAGCUCUUCAGGUGUUUCCUCCUUUGCCAGCUCUUCAGGUGUUUCUUUAGCUGCCGGUUCUUCAGGUUUCUCUUCAACCUCCGGUUCUUGUGGUAUUUCCUCUACUUGUACUUCAGAUUUCUCCUCAAUUGUUGGUUCUUCAGGUUUCUCUCUAACCGCUGCUGCAUUAGGUUUCUCUUCAUUGGCUGGUUCUUCAGGUUUUUCUUCAACUACCGAUUCUUCAGGAUUUUCCUCAAUGUUUGGAAAGGGAGCGACAUCAUUAUUGGUAUUGCAUGGAAUUUCACUGCCAGUUUUGUCAUUCAAGUCCACAACUAGUAUAUUCUGCAAAAGAGUUUAAUGUUUCACUUAGUCUUUCAAUAAAGAAGCAGAUGCGAAUCAUUACAUAUACAUAACUAAUAACAUGGAUAAACUUUAUGACAGUAGUUGACCCUUACCUUUUCCACAAGAGUUACUUUUGCAGGUUUCUCCUCUUCAAGUGCUGGUUUCUCUUCAAAUGAUAGUUCAUUAGGUGUUUCUUCCCGUGUUGGUUCUUCAUGUGCUUCUUCAGUUACUGGUUUUUCAGGUUUCUCCUCAAUUGUUGGUUCUUCGCUUGUCUUCUCAACUGAUGGUUCCUCAUGCUUCUCUCCCGUUGUUGAUUUUUCGGGUUUCUCUUCAGUUGUCGAUGGUUCAGUUUUUUUCUCAACCGCUGGUUCUUUUGGCUUCUCCAAAACCAUUUCCGAUUUCUCUUCAGUUGGUGGUUCUUCAUGGUUUUUUUCAACUACUGGUUCUUCUCUUUUUUCCUCAACUGAUGCAUAGUCAGCAAUAUCGUUGUUGGUAUUGCUUGGAAUUGCAUUGUCUGUCUUGUCCUUUGAGCUUACAAUUGGCAUAUUCUGCUAGAAAAAUAUAAAGUUUCAUGUAGUCUUUCAACAGAGAAACCAAUGUAAAUUUGUUGCACAUAUAAAGCUAACAAAUAUGAUGGAUAGACUUUGCGAGAGUGUUUAAUACUCACCUUCUCCGGAAGAGCUUCCGUUUCAGGUUCCUCUUCAAUUUCUGCUUUUUCAUCUUUCUCUUCAACAACUAGUUCUUCAGGUGUCUCUUCAACCGUUGAUUCUUCAGGUUUCUCUUCAAGUGUUAGUUCUUGAGGUGUUUCCUCCUUUGCUAGCUCUUCAGGUGUUUCUGUAACUGCCGGUUCUUCAGGUUCCUCUUCAGCCACCGGCUGUUGACGUAUCUCCUCUACUUGUACUUCAGAUUUCUCCUCAAUUGUUGGUUCUUCAGGUUUCUCCUUAACCGCUGGUACAUCAGGUUUAUCCUCAUUGACUGGUUCUUCAACUGCUGAUUCUUCUAGAUUUUCCUCAAUGUCUGGAAAGCGAGCAACAUCAUUAUUGGUAUUGCAUGGAAUUUCAUUUCCAGUUUCGUUAUUCGAGUCUACAAUUAGCAUAUUCUGCAAAAAGAAUUUAAUGUUUCAUUUAGCCUUUCAAUAAAGAAGCAUAUGCGAAUAACAGUACAUGCAUAACUAACAAAAUGGAUAAACUUUGUGAUAGUGCUUGAUCCUUACCUUUGCCAAAAGAGUUACCUUUUCAGGUUUCUCCUCUUCAACGGUUGGUUCUUCAUGUUUCUUUUCAAAUGCUAGUUCCUUGGUUGUUUCUUCCGGUGUUGGUUCCAUAGGUGUUUCUUCAGUUACUUGUUUUUCGGGUUUCUCUUCAAUUAUUGGUUCUUCGAUUGUCUUCUCAACUGAUGGUUCUUCAAGAUUUUCUCCCACUGUUGGUUUUUGGGGUUUCUCUUCUAUUGUUGGUUGUUCAGGAAUUUUCUCAACUGGUGGUUCUGCUGGAUAUUCCAAAACCAUUGAUUCUUCAGAUUUCUCUUCAAUUGAUGGUUCUUCAUGGGUUUUUUCAACUACUGGUUCUUCAAUUUUUUCCUCAACAGAUGCAUAGUCAACAAUAUCAUUAUUGGUAUUGCUUGGAAUUGCAUCGUCUGUCAUGUCCUUUGAGUUUACUUUUGGCAUAUUCUGCAAUAGAGUUUCAUGUAAUCUUUCAACAGAUAAACAGAUGUAAAUUUGUUGCACAUAUAAAGCUAAUAUGGUGGAUAAACUUUGUGACAGUGUUUAAUCCUCACCUUCUCCUGAAGAUCUUCCGCUUCAAGUUCCUCCUCUACAAUUGCAGUUUUUUCCUCUUCCCCUUCAACAACUAGUUCUUCAGGUGCCUCUUCAGCCGUUGAUUCUUCAGGUUUCUCUUCAAGUGCUAGUUCUUCAGGUGUUUCCUCCUUUGCCAGCUCUUCAGGUGUUUCUUUAGAUGCCGAUUCUUCAGGUUUCUCUUCAGCCAUCGGUUCUUGAGGUAUUUCCUCUACUUGUACUUCAUAUUUCUCCUCAAUUGUUUGUUCUUCAGGUUUCUCUUCAGGUUUCUCCUUAACCACUGGUACAUCAGGUUUCUCUUGAUUAACUGGUUCUUUGGGUUUUUCUUCAACAGCCGAAUCUUCAGGAUUUUCCUCAAUGUCUUGAAAGCAAGCAAUAUCUUUAGUGGUAUUGCAUGGAAUUUCACUGCCAGUUUUGUUGUUCGAGUCUACAAUUAGCAUAUUCUGCAAAAGGAAUUUGAUGUUUCAUUUAGCCUUUUAAUAAAGAAGCAGAUGUGAAUAACAUUACAUGCAUAACUUACAAAAUGGAUAAAUUUUGUGACAGUCCUUGACCCUUACCUUUUCAGGUUUCUCCUCUUCAACAGCUGAUUCUUCAUGUUUCUCUUCAAAUGCUAGUUCUCUGGGUGUUUCUUCCCGUAGUGCUUCUUCAUGUGCUUCUUCAGUUACUGGUUUUUCAGGUUUCUCCUCAAUUGUUGGUUCUUUGAUUGUCUCCUCAACAGAUGGUUCUUCAAGCUUCUCUCCCGUUGUUGAUUUUUCUGGUUUCUCUUCAAUUGCUGGUUGUUCAGGAAUUUUCUCAACAGCUGGUUCUUCUGGCUUCUCUAAAACCAUUGAUUCUUCAGCUUUCUCUUCAAUUGAUGGUUCUUCAUGGUUUUUUUCAACUAUUGGUUCUUCAGUUUUUUCCUCAACGGAUGCAUAGUCAACAAUAUCAUUGUUGGUAUUGCUUGGAAUUGCAUCGUCUGUCAUGUCCUUUGAGUUUACUUUUGGCAUAUUCUACAAUAAAGUUUCAUGUAGUCUUUCAAUAGAUAAACAGAUGUAAAUUUGUUGCAACAUAUAAAGCUAAUAUGGUGGAUAAACUUUGUGACAGUGUUUAAUCCUCACCUUCUCCCGAAGAUCUUCCGCUUUAAGUUCCUCCUCUUCAAUUGCUGUUUUUUCAUCUUUCGUUUCAACAACUAGUUCUUCAGGUGCCUCUUCAGCCGUUGAUUCUUCAGGUUUUUCUUCAAGUGCCAGCUCUUCAGGUGUUUCCUCCUUUGCCAUCUCUUCAGGUGUUUCCUCCUUUGCCAGCUCUUCAGGUGUUUCUUUAGCUGCUGGUUCUUCAGGUUUCUCUUCAGCCGCCAGUUCUUGAGGUAUCUCCUUUUCUACUUCAGAUUUCUCCUCAACUGUUGGUUCUUCAGGUUUCUCUUCAUUAACUGGUUCUUUGGGUUUUUCUUCAACAGCCGAAUCUUCAGGAUUUUCCUCAAUGUCUGGAAAGUGAGCAACAUCUUUAUUGGUAUUGCAUGCAAUUUCACUGUCAGUUUUGUCGUUCAAGUCUACAAUUAGCAUAUUCUGCAAAAAGAAUUUGAUGUUUCAUUUAGCCUAUUAAUAAAGAAGCAGAUGUGAAUAACAUUACAUGCAUAACUUACAAAAUGGAUAAACUUUGUGAUGGUCCUUGACCCUUACCUUUCCAGGCUUCUCCUCUUCAACGGCCAGUUCUUGUUUCUCUUCAAAUGCUAGUUCCCUGGGUGUUUCUUCCUGUAUUGGUUCUUCAUGUGCUUCUUCAGGUACUGGUUUUUCAGGUUUCUCCUCAAUUGUUGGUUCUUCGAUUGUCUCCUCAACAGAUGGUUCUUCAAGGUUCUCUCCCGUUGUUGAGUCUUCUGGUUUCUCUUCAAUUGCUGGUUGUUCAGAAAUUUUCUCAACAGCUGGUUCUUCUGGCUUCUCCAAAACCAUUGAUUCUUCAGCUUUCUCUUCAAUUAAAGGUUCUUCAUGGUUUUUUUCAACUACUGUUUCUUCAGUUUUUUCCUCAACGGAUGCAUAGUCAACAACAUCAUUGUUGGUAUUGCUUGGAAUUGCAUCGUCUGUCAUGUCCUUUGAGCUUACUUUUGGCAUAUUCUGCAAUAAAGUUUCAUGUAGUCUUUCAAUAGAUAAACAGAUGUAAAUUUGUUGCACAUAUAAAGCCAAUAUGGUGGAUACACUUUGUGACAGUGUUUAAUCCUCACCUUCUCCUGAAGAUCUUCCGCUUCAAGUUCUUCCUCUUCAAUUGCUGUUUUUUCAUCUCUCUCUUCAACAACUUGUUCUUCAGGUGCCUCUUCAGCCGUUGAUUCUUCAGGUUUCUCUUCAAGCACUAGUUCUUCAGGUGUUUCCUCCUUUGCCAGCUCUUCAGGUGUUUCUUUAGCUGCCAGUUCUUCAGGUUUCUCUUCAGCUGCCGAUUCUUGAGGUAUUUCCUUUACCUGUACUUUAGAUUUCUCCUCAAAUGUUGGUUCUUCAGGUUUCUCCUUAACCGCAGGUACAUCAGGUUUCUCUUCAGCUGCUGGUUUUUGAGGUUUCUCCUCUACUUGUACCUCGGAUUUCUCCUCAACCAUCGGUUCUUCAGGUUUCUCCUCAACCUCUGGUACGUCAGGUUUCUCUUCAUUAACAA